GCUGCGGGGAGCCCGCGGGGCCUGAGGAGAUCGCUAGGCUGAAGGCGGCGGCUCUGGCUCCAUCAUGUCUGCUGGAGGGGACUUCGGAAACCCUCUGAGGAAAUUCAAGCUGGUGUUCCUGGGGGAGCAGAGCGUUGGAAAAACAUCUUUGAUCACCAGAUUCAUGUGGUGAUCACCUACCAGGCAGCAAUUGGCAUUGACUUUUUAUCAAAAACAAUGUAUUUGGAAGAUCGAACAAUCAGGCUGCAGCUGUGUGAUACUGCGAGUCAGGAACGUUUCCGUAGCCUCAUUCCCAGUUACAUCCGUGAUUCCGCUGCAGCUGUAGUAGUAUACGAUAUCACAAAUGUAAACUCAUUCCAGCAAACCACAAAAUGGAUUGAUGAUGUCAGAACGGAAAGGGGAAGUGAUGUCAUCAUUAUGCUAGUGGGAAAUAAAACAGAUCUUGCUGAUAAGAGACAAGUGUCUAUUGAGGAGGGAGAGAGGAAAGCCAAAGAGCUCAAUGUUAUGUUUAUUGAAACAAGUGCAAAAGCAGGAUACAAUGUAAAACAGCUUUUCCGACGUGUGGCAGCAGCCUUGCCUGGGAUGGAGAGUACACAGGACAAAAGCAGAGAAGACAUGAUUGACAUAAAACUGGAAAAGCCUCAGGAGCCACCAGUUAAUGAAGGAGGCUGUUCCUGCUAAUACCAUGUGGCUUCUUGAAUCCUUCCCCCAGAACCUCACUGCUUUUGCCCCCUUAUUCUUCAUUGACUGCAGUGUGAAUAUUGGCUUGAACCUUCCCCCUUCAGUAAUAACGUAUUGCAAUUCAUCAUUGCUGGCUGUCUCGUGGAGAUGAUCUAUUAGCUUCACAAGCGCACAUGUGCGCGCACGCACACACACAAACAUACAUACAAUAUGUCAGUGUCUUCAUUAUUUAUAUUAAAAAGCCAAAAUAUUCCAGCAUAUUCCAGUGAUAACUUUAAAAACUAGGUACAUUUUCUUAACAUUUGUUCCUUUUUUUAAAUAUGUUAUGAUAGUGCACUUUGAAAUUAUGGAAAUCUCAAAGGUCUGAGUUUGACUUGGUUAAGGAGCAAUAUGUUCAGAAUAGAACUCACCUCUCUAGCUGAUCUUUAUCCUCUCUCCCCCACUAUCACCCCAAAUCACCCUGUCUCUGCCUUUACUCUGCCUCACAAAGCAAAUUAGAAGUAGCCCAUUAGCAGUCAAGGCAGGCAGAUUUGGUGUAUCUGAGUCAGCCUUCAGCAUUAGGGAUAACCCAAGCCGCUGUCCUUGGGCAAAGAUUGAUAACGUGAACCUUCUAGCUUACUCAUGGAAUUCCCUUGAGACAAAGCCAUCUGGCAUUAUGAAAAGGACAGUGUUCUGAUGGGGAUAGGCUUAGAGAAUGAUUAUUUUUAAUGGGUCAGCUUGAUAGUGACUGACAGUCUCUCUGACCAGGAGAAAUGAUUCCCUUCAUAUGUGCUUACCCAAACAUUGCAAGCAGCAAACAACUAGGUGUUCCUAUCCAUGUGGUAUUCUAAAAAAAUUGUACCUACUCUUCAUGGUAAAAUUGGAAAGACCUUAUGGACACUCCCCCAUCAAGGUUUUAAGACUUAUGAAGUGUGGGAGGUAUUACAUUAUUGAGAAACUUAAAAAGCAACAGAUCUUUUCCCCUUCUUUCUCUGUCUUUAAUGAAGUACAGACAAGGCACUGUGUAAGUAUAACUCCCCAAAGAAAGAGUGGAAGGAUUUCA